GAACUUAUGAUAGAAAAGUUAAAUUUCAAAGCUAGUUUAACUUUUAAACCUUGAACCGUGACAAUCUAAAUAGUAUGUGAACUUAUAAUAGUGUUUAAGUUUUCAAAGAUGAUCUUAUGGUUUACUCUUCAUCUGCAACCUGCAUAUUAUGUACAUGGCCUUUCUUCAUUUGUUCAUUUUGUUUGUUUUGUUUUGGGUUCUCUCUCCGUCUCUAUUUUACUCUUGUAGACCAGAAUAAUGUUAUGAAUUCUUUUGCUUGUCUCGUAUUGCAAGUGUGAGAUACUGGAUUUAUCUCACGUGAUUAAUAUUUACAUAAUUGGUGCAGACGCAGUUCAUGAUGGAAACCAUGACAGCUCUCAUUGAGAAGGUAUGGCCAUCUCUCUGCUAGUUUUGUAACAUAUUAUCAAUCUUUAUAUGGGUAAUUUCUUCCUUGCUGCCUCUGUAUGUUUGUUUUCAAGUAAGAUAGAAAGUGAGUUUGACGAGUCUUCUCAUAAGUUAGAUGCAGGCUCAAUUUUGUUAUACUGAAGAUGACUAGUAAAAGUUCAGGUGAAAAUUGAAGGGGGUUGGUUCUAUAUAUAGUCCUACGAGAAAGUGUGCAACGUUAUGUUUUUGUUUGCAACAGUAUCUUUAACCUUGUUGGAGAUCUUAUUUAUUAAUCGAUGGACACAAUAUCCUUUAGCUGUAGCUGUCAAAACCAGCAAGGAGGAGUUUUUUAUAUAAACAAAAAUUGUUAGGACCUCAUAUCGGAAAAGAAAUGUACUACUGUUUAUAAAGCCCAACACCAGAUUGCCCAUGCUGGUGUGGCUGUAAUGCAAGAACAGGGAAAGAAGCUGGGAGAAGAGAAGGAUCUCAUGGAAAAGGAGGUAAAUUCCAAUUGGUAAUUACUACUACUGGAACACAAAUGUUAUUGCAUAUAUAUGAGAUAGGCUAGCAAAAAUUUAGCAGGGGGAAUGAGGUUUGAUUAUAUGAUGGGAAAGGUAAAAUGUUAGGAGGGGACCGUAAGAGAAUAGCCAAAGUUAGUUCAGCUUUGAUUACCAUGGCCAAGUUGCAAAUGACUUGCUGUUCUGGAGGUGCAAGGAGAAACUGAGUGUCGGGCUCUAUAUAUUUGUUUUUCCAAAUUCUCCAAGUUUCAUUACUUAAGUGUUAAUUGUGUUUUGUCUUUGCUAUUUCUGCUGUUAGUAACAUGGUUCUUUUGUUUCUCUUUUUUGGUUUGAUACCUUUUUGAGCUUAACUAUAUAUGCAUAGCUUUGCUACCACACAUGAUUGUUUUCUAGGGGACUAAAUCCCCUUGGGGAGAUUUCCCUUCAUUUGGAUCUGCUUUGAGAUUUCAGUCAUUUCACCUCACUUUGAUCCUCGUUUGAGGGAUUUCACCUUAUUUGGAUCUGCUUUGAGGAGAUUUCACCUCACUGUAAUUAAUACACCUUGUGGGAAUUUCACCUCACUUGGAUCCGUCUUGAGGAGAUUUCACCUCCUUGACGAGAUUAAUUUCACUCACUAAGGUCCGUCUUGAGGGAAUUUAACCUCACUUGGAUCUGUUUUGAAGAGAUUUUACCUCACUUGGAUCUUCCUUAAGGAGAUUUCAUCUCACUUGGAUCUUCCUUAAGGAGAUUUCAUCUUGACUACUCUUUUAGCUCUUCUUCCUUAUCAGGGAUAAGGAUAGGUGGCUGACGGUCUGUUAGAGGAGGGAGGAGAAAGAAAGAAAAGGAACAGAGAGAGGGAUGGAAAGAAAGAAAGGUGCAAGAAAAUGUGGAUGAUUGCGAAAUUGUUCCUCCACCUACUGAUAAGGGUGGCGUCUGCAAGUUUGCUGUAGAUGCUGACUAGCAAAGUGAUUUUGAGUAAGGCUAGCUAGAUUUUUUGUGAACCAUUUUGGAGUAGUUGUACUAUUGCAGCAACUGUGAACAAAACUACAUGUACACUUAUUGCAAUGGUAUGUUUUAGGCUAGCCUUGAAGUACGUAGGUUGGGGUCUUUUUGCCUA